GAUGAACGCUGGCGGCGUGCCUAAUACAUGCAAGUCGAGCGAACAGACGAGGAGCUUGCUCCUCUGACGUUAGCGGCGGACGGGUGAGUAACACGUGGAUAACCUACCUAUAAGACUGGGAUAACUUCGGGAAACCGGAGCUAAUACCGGAUAAUAUAUUGAACCGCAUGGUUCAAUAGUGAAAGACGGUUUUGCUGUCACUUCUAGCUGGAUCCGCGCCGCAUUGGCUAGUUGGUAAGGUAACGGCUUACCAAGGCGACGAUGCGUAGCCGACCUGUGAGAGUGAUCGGCGGCAUGGGAGCUGGGACACGGUCCAUGCGCCUACGGGAGGCAGCAGUAGCGAAUCUUCCGCAGUAGGCGAGAACCUGACGGAGCAACGCCACGUGAGUGAUGGAAGUCUUCGGAGCGGAAUACUCUGUUAUUAGUGGAGAACAAAUGUGGAAGUUACUAUGCACUUCUUGACGGUACCUGGUCAGAAAGCCACGGCUAACUACGUG
rnacentral:rRNA from 1 species